CAGGUAAAUGAGGAGUUAAUUAAACAAAUGUUAAUUUUGAAACUUUAAUAUGUGUAGAAAAUUGCAUAAUUUCUUUGAAGUAAGAAUGGAACGAAUGUGAUUUGUGUGUAAAAACCGGUUUUGAAU